UUAAGUUAUUAAGGGCGCACGGUGGAUGCCUUGGCACUAGAAGCCGAUGAAGGACGUUACUAACGACGAUAUGCUUUGGGGAGCUGUAAGUAAGCUUUGAUCCAGAGAUUUCCGAAUGGGGAAACCCAGCAUGAGUUAUGUCAUGUUAUCGAUAUGUGAAUACAUAGCAUAUCAGAAGGCACACCCGGAGAACUGAAACAUCUUAGUACCCGGAGGAAGAGAAAGAAAAUUCGAUUCCCUUAGUAGCGGCGAGCGAAACGGGAAGAGCCCAAACCAAAAAGCUUGCUUGUUGGGGUUGUAGGACACUCUAUACGGAGUUACAAAGGACGACAUUAGACGAAUCAUCUGGAAAGAUGAAUCAAAGAAGGUAAUAAUCCUGUAGUCGAAAAUGUUGUCUCUCUUGAGUGGAUCCUGAGUACGACGGAGCACGUGAAAUUCCGUCGGAAUCUGGGAGGACCAUCUCCUAAGGCUAAAUACUCUCUAGUGACCGAUAGUGAACCAGUACCGUGAGGGAAAGGUGAAAAGCACCCCGGAAGGGGAGUGAAAUAGAACCUGAAACCGUGUGCUUACAAGUAGUCAGAGCCCGUUAAUGGGUGAUGGCGUGCCUUUUGUAGAAUGAACCGGCGAGUUACGAUUUGAUGCAAGGUUAAGCAGUAAAUGUGGAGCCGUAGCGAAAGCGAGUCUGAAUAGGGCGUUUAGUAUUUGGUCGUAGACCCGAAACCAGGUGAUCUACCCUUGGUCAGGUUGAAGUUCAGGUAACACUGAAUGGAGGACCGAACCGACUUACGUUGAAAAGUGAGCGGAUGAACUGAGGGUAGCGGAGAAAUUCCAAUCGAACCUGGAGAUAGCUGGUUCUCUCCGAAAUAGCUUUAGGGCUAGCCUCAAGUGAUGAUUAUUGGAGGUAGAGCACUGUUUGGACGAGGGGCCCCUCUCGGGUUACCGAAUUCAGACAAACUCCGAAUGCCAAUUAAUUUAACUUGGGAGUCAGAACAUGGGUGAUAAGGUCCGUGUUCGAAAGGGAAACAGCCCAGACCACCAGCUAAGGUCCCAAAAUAUAUGUUAAGUGGAAAAGGAUGUGGCGUUGCCCAGACAACUAGGAUGUUGGCUUAGAAGCAGCCAUCAUUUAAAGAGUGCGUAAUAGCUCACUAGUCGAGUGACACUGCGCCGAAAAUGUACCGGGGCUAAACAUAUUACCGAAGCUGUGGAUUGUCCUUUGGACAAUGGUAGGAGAGCGUUCUAAGGGCGUUGAAGCAUGAUCGUAAGGACAUGUGUAGCGCUUAGAAGUGAGAAUGCCGGUGUGAGUAGCGAAAGACGGGUGAGAAUCCCGUCCACCGAUUGACUAAGGUUUCCAGAGGAAGGCUCGUCCGCUCUGGGUUAGUCGGGUCCUAAGCUGAGGCCGACAGGCGUAGGCGAUGGAUAACAGGUUGAUAUUCCUGUACCACCUAUAAUCGUUUUAAUCGAUGGGGGGACGCAGUAGGAUAGGCGAAGCGUGCGAUUGGAUUGCACGUCUAAGCAGUAAGGCUGAGUAUUAGGCAAAUCCGGUACUCGUUAAGGCUGAGCUGUGAUGGGGAGAAGACAUUGAGUCUUCGAGUCGUUGAUUUCACACUGCCGAGAAAAGCCUCUAGAUAGAAAAUAGGUGCCCGUACCGCAAACCGACACAGGUAGUCAAGAUGAGAAUUCUAAGGUGAGCGAGCGAACUCUCGUUAAGGAACUCGGCAAAAUGACCCCGUAACUUCGGGAGAAGGGGUGCUCUUUAGGGUUAACGCCCAGAAGAGCCGCAGUGAAUAGGCCCAAGCGACUGUUUAUCAAAAACACAGGUCUCUGCUAAACCGUAAGGUGAUGUAUAGGGGCUGACGCCUGCCCGGUGCUGGAAGGUUAAGAGGAGUGGUUAGCUUCUGCGAAGCUACGAAUCGAAGCCCCAGUAAACGGCGGCCGUAACUAUAACGGUCCUAAGGUAGCGAAAUUCCUUGUCGGGUAAGUUCCGACCCGCACGAAAGGCGUAACGAUUUGGGCACUGUCUCAACGAGAGACUCGGUGAAAUCAUAGUACCUGUGAAGAUGCAGGUUACCCGCGACAGGACGGAAAGACCCCGUGGAGCUUUACUGUAGCCUGAUAUUGAAAUUCGGCACAGCUUGUACAGGAUAGGUAGGAGCCUUUGAAACGUGAGCGCUAGCUUACGUGGAGGCGCUGGUGGGAUACUACCCUAGCUGUGUUGGCUUUCUAACCCGCACCACUUAUCGUGGUGGGAGACAGUGUCAGGCGGGCAGUUUGACUGGGGCGGUCGCCUCCUAAAAGGUAACGGAGGCGCUCAAAGGUUCCCUCAGAAUGGUUGGAAAUCAUUCAUAGAGUGUAAAAGCAUAAGGGAGCUCGACUGCGAGACCUACAAGUCGAGCAGGGUCGAAAGACGGACUUAGUGAUCCGGUGGUUCCGCAUGGAAGGGCCAUCGCUCAACGGAUAAAAGCUACCCCGGGGAUAACAGGCUUAUCUCCCCCAAGAGUUCACAUCGACGGGGAGGUUUGGCACCUCGAUGUCGGCUCAUCGCAUCCUGGGGCUGUAGUCGGUCCCAAGGGUUGGGCUGUUCGCCCAUUAAAGCGGUACGCGAGCUGGGUUCAGAACGUCGUGAGACAGUUCGGUCCCUAUCCGUCGUGGGCGUAGGAAAUUUGAGAGGAGCUGUCCUUAGUACGAGAGGACCGGGAUGGACAUACCUCUGGUGUACCAGUUGUCGUGCCAACGGCAUAGCUGGGUAGCUAUGUGUGGACGGGAUAAGUGCUGAAAGCAUCUAAGCAUGAAGCCCCCCUCAAGAUGAGAUUUCCCAACUUCGGUUAUAAGAUCCCUCAAAGAUGAUGAGGUUAAUAGGUUCGAGGUGGAAGCAUGGUGACAUGUGGAGCUGACGAAUACUAAUCGAUCGAAGACUUAAUCAA
rnacentral:rRNA from 1 species